rnacentral:rRNA from 1 species
GGGUGUGAUCAUACCAGCGUUAAUGCACUGGAUCCCAUGAGAACUCCGCAGUUAAGCACGCUUGGGCUAGAGUAGUACUGGGAUGGGUGACCUCCCGGGAAUUCCUAGUGUUGCACCCU